rnacentral:rRNA from 1 species
UUACACAUGCAAGUCGAACGGCAGCAUGGGCUUCGGCCUGAUGGCGAGUGGCGAACGGGUGAGUAAUGCAUCGGAACGCGUCCUGUAAUGGGGGAUAACCUACCGAAAGGUAGGCUAAUACCGCAUACGUCCUGUGGGAGAAAGCGGGGGAUCGUAAGACCUCGUGUUAUAGGAGCGGCCGAUGUCGGAUUAGCUAGUUGGUGGGGUAAAGGCCUACCAAGGCGACGAUCCGUAGCUGGUCUGAGAGGACGACCAGCCACACUGGGACUGAGACACGGCCCAGACUCCUACGGGAGGCAGCAGUGGGGAAUUUUGGACAAUGGGGGCAACCCUGAUCCAGCCAUGCCGCGUGAGUGAAGAAGGCCUUCGGGUUGUAAAGCUCUUUCGGCCGGGAAGAAAUCGCGCCAGCUAAUAUCUGGUGUGGAUGACGGUACCGGAAGAAGAAGCACCGGCUAACUACGUGCCAGCAGCCGCGGUAAUACGUAGGGUGCGAGCGUUAAUCGGAAUUACUGGGCGUAAAGCGUGCGCAGGCGGUUUUGUAAGACAGGUGUGAAAUCCCCGGGCUUAACCUGGGAACUGCGCUUGUGACUGCAAGACUUGAGUGCGGCAGAGGGGGGUGGAAUUCCA